rnacentral:tRNA from 1 species
GGGCGUGUGGUGUAAUGGAUAGCAUCGUGGGCUUCGGUCCCGCUGAUCCGGGUUCGACUCCCGGCACGUCCUCCA